UACGUAGGGGGCUAGCGUUGUCCGGAUUUACUGGGCGUAAAGGGCGCGCAGGCGGCGCAUUUUGUCAGGCGUGAAAGCCCCGGGCUUAACCUGGGAACUGCGUUUGAUACGGAUGGGCUAGAGUUCGGGAGAGGAGAGUGGAAUUCCCAGUGUAGAGGUGAAAUUCGUAGAUAUUGGGAAGAACACCGGUGGCGAAGGCGGCUCACUGGCUCAUUUCUGACGCUCAGGCGCGACAGCGUGGGGAUCAAACAGG
rnacentral:rRNA from 1 species